rnacentral:rRNA from 1 species
GAUGAACGCUGGCGGCGUGCCUAAUACAUGCAAGUCGAGCGAACGGACGAGAAGCUUGCUUCUCUGAUGUUAGCGGCGGACGGGUGAGUAACACGUGGAUAACCUACCUAUAAGACUGGGAUAACUUCGGGAAACCGGAGCUAAUACCGGAUAAUAUUUUGAACCGCAUGGUUCAAAAGUGAAAGACGGUCUUGCUGUCACUUAUAGAUGGAUCCGCGCUGCAUUAGCUAGUUGGUAAGGUAACGGCUUACCAAGGCAACGAUGCAUAGCCGACCUGAGAGGGUGAUCGGCCACACUGGAACUGAGACACGGUCCAGACUCCUACGGGAGGCAGCAGUAGGGAAUCUUCCGCAAUGGGCGAAAGCCUGACGGAGCAACGCCGCGUGAGUGAUGAAGGUCUUCGGAUCGUAAAACUCUGUUAUUAGGGAAGAACAUAUGUGUAAGUAACUGUGCACAUCUUGACGGUACCUAAUCAGAAAGCCACGGCUAACUACGUGCCAGCAGCCGCGGUAAUACGUAGGUGGCAAGCGUUAUCCGGAAUUAUUGGGCGUAAAGCGCGCGUAGGCGGUUUUUUAAGUCUGAUGUGAAAGCCCACGGCUCAACCGUGGAGGGUCAUUGGAAACUGGAAAACUUGAGUGCAGAAGAGGAAAGUGGAAUUCCAUGUGUAGCGGUGAAAUGCGCAGAGAUAUGGAGGAACACCAGUGGCGAAGGCGACUUUCUGGUCUGUAACUGACGCUGAUGUGCGAAAGCGUGGGGAUCAAACAGGAUUAGAUACCCUGGUAGUCCACGCCGUAAACGAUGAGUGCUAAGUGUUAGGGGGUUUCCGCCCCUUAGUGCUGCAGCUAACGCAUUAAGCACUCCGCCUGGGGAGUACGACCGCAAGGUUGAAACUCAAAGGAAUUGACGGGGACCCGCACAAGCGGUGGAGCAUGUGGUUUAAUUCGAAGCAACGCGAAGAACCUUACCAAAUCUUGACAUCCUUUGACAACUCUAGAGAUAGAGCUUUCCCCUUCGGGGGACAAAGUGACAGGUGGUGCAUGGUUGUCGUCAGCUCGUGUCGUGAGAUGUUGGGUUAAGUCCCGCAACGAGCGCAACCCUUAAGCUUAGUUGCCAUCAUUAAGUUGGGCACUCUAAGUUGACUGCCGGUGACAAACCGGAGGAAGGUGGGGAUGACGUCAAAUCAUCAUGCCCCUUAUGAUUUGGGCUACACACGUGCUACAAUGGACAAUACAAAGGGCAGCGAAACCGCGAGGUCAAGCAAAUCCCAUAAAGUUGUUCUCAGUUCGGAUUGUGGUCUGCAACUCGACUACAUGAAGCUGGAAUCGCUAGUAAUCGUAGAUCAGCAUGCUACGGUGAAUACGUUCCCGGGUCU